rnacentral:rRNA from 1 species
GGCGGCAUGCUUUACACAUGCAAGUCGAACGGCAGCGCGGGGCAACCUGGCGGCGAGUGGCGAACGGGUGAGUAAUAUAUCGGAACGUACCCAAGAGUGGGGGAUAACGUAGCGAAAGUUACGCUAAUACCGCAUACGAUCUAUGGAUGAAAGUGGGGGACCGCAAGGCCUCACGCUCCUGGAGCGGCCGAUAUCUGAUUAGCUAGUUGGUGAGGUAAUGGCUCACCAAGGCGACGAUCAGUAGCUGGUCUGAGAGGACGACCAGCCACACUGGAACUGAGACACGGUCCAGACUCCUACGGGAGGCAGCAGUGGGGAAUUUUGGACAAUGGGCGCAAGCCUGAUCCAGCAAUGCCGCGUGAGUGAAGAAGGCCUUCGGGUUGUAAAGCUCUUUUGUCAGGGGGAAAACGGUGGGAGCUAAUAUCUCC